GGCAUGAUGUCCGAGUGGUUAAGGAGUAUGACUUGAACCUUUUAUAUAAAGGUAUCAUAUGCGAUUUUCGCGCGCAGGUUCGAAUCCUGCUCAUGUCG
rnacentral:tRNA from 1 species